rnacentral:rRNA from 1 species
AAUAUUGCACAAUGGGCGGAAGCCUGAUGCAGCGACGCCGCGUGAGGGACGACGGCCUUCGGGUUGUAAACCUCUUUCAGCAGGGACGAAGCGCAAGUGACGGUACCUGCAGAAGAAGCGCCGGCCAACUCCGUGCCAGCAGCCGCGGUAAGACGUAGGGCGCAAGCGUUGUCCGGAUUUAUUGGGCGUAAAGAGCUCGUAGGCGGCUUGUUGCGUCGACUGUGAAAACCCGUGGCUCAACCAUGUGGUCUGCAGUCGAUACGGGCAGGCUAGAAUUCGGUAGGGGAGACUGGAAUUCCUGGUGUAGCGGUGAAAUGCGCAGAUAUCAGGAGGAACACCGGUGGCGAAGGCGGGUCUCUGGGCCGAUAUUGACGCUGAGGAGCGAAAGCGUGGGGAGCGAAC